UACGUAGGGUGCAAGCGUUGUCCGGAAUUAUUGGGCGUAAAGAGCUCGUAGGUGGUUUGUCGCGUUGUUCGUGAAAACUCACAGCUUAACUGUGGGCGUGCGGGCGAUACGGGCAGACUGGAGUACUGCAGGGGAGACUGGAAUUCCUGGUGUAGCGGUGGAAUGCGCAGAUAUCAGGAGGAACACCGGUGGCGAAGGCGGGUCUCUGGGCAGUAACUGACGCUGAGGAGCGAAAAGCGUGGGGAGCGAACAGG
rnacentral:rRNA from 1 species